rnacentral:lncRNA from 1 species
CGGAGCAACGUAAAGGAGGCACGUGAAGGUGGCGCUCUCUGAGGCGGUCCGGCGCUCUCUGAGGCGGUCCGGCUCUCUCAGGGUGUUCCGGCAGGCUUCUCGACGUGUGAGUUACAUUCGACGCCUGGUACUCAGACCGACGCGUUAACAGAGAAGCAGGAAAAAGCAUACCAUUGUAGAAAUUCAUCAAAUCACAAAGAAAGAGAGGAAGAGAAGAAGAAAGGAAUUACAGAGCAGUGAGAAAACAAUUAAUAAAAUGGCAACAGUAAGUUCACACGUGUCAAUAAUAACUUGAAACAGAAAUGGACUAAAUUCUCUCAUCAGAAGACACAGAGG